ensembl:lncRNA
AAAUGUUUCUGACCUAAAAUAUUACGAAAUAUGAUUGUUUACAUUAAAGUGUAAAAGUUGAUGUUAAAGUGUGAUAAGGUGAAAAAAGUGACAGUUUAUGUCUAGAAAGUCACUUUUCAUCAAAAGUACAAUAACAAAACUAGUUCCCAUUCAUCCUGUGUCUCCAUGCACACUUGUGCUCUUUAUCCGCUCAAAACGCUAUACAGCGAACGAGAAGGCGCUAGGAGCAAAGGAAAGUGGUUUUUCUAACAAACUCAUAUAAUCAGUUGCACUGACCUACUCCAAUUUGAUAUUUUUCACAUAGUUAGACAUAAUAUAGUACUAUGAAAUGUUUCUGACCCAAAAUAUUACGAAAUAUGAUUGUUUACAUUAAAAUGCAAAAGUUGAUGAAAAAGUAUGAUAAGGUGAAAAAAGUGACAUUUUAUGUCUAGAAAGUGACUUUUCAUCAAAAGUACAAUAACAAAACUAGUUCCCAUUCAUUCUGUGUCCCCUUACACACUUGUGCUCUUUAUCCGCUCAAAACGCUAUACAGCGAACGAGAAGGCGCUAGGAGCAAAGGAAAGUGGUUUUUCUAACAAACUCAUAUAAUCAAGUGCACAACGUACUCCAAUUUGAUUUUUUUCACAUAGUUAGACAUAAUAUAGUACUAAGAAAUGUUUCUGACCCAAAAUAUUACGAAAUAUGAUUGUUUACAUUAAAAUGCAAAAGUUGAUGAAAAAGUGAAAAAAGUGACAUUUUAUGUCUAGAAAGUGACUUUUCAUCAAAAGUACAAUAACAAAACUAGUUCCCAUUCAUUCUGUGUCCCCUUACACACUUGUGCUCUUUAUCCGCUCAAAACGCUAUACAGCGAACGAGAAGGCGCUA